rnacentral:rRNA from 1 species
UACGUAGGGUGCAAGCGUUGUCCGGAAUUAUUGGGCGUAAAGAGCUCGUAGGCGGUUUGUCGCGUCUGCUGUGAAAACUGGGGGCUCAACCCCCAGCCUGCAGUGGGUACGGGCAGACUAGAGUGCGGUAAGGGAGAUUGGAAUUCCUGGUGUAGCGGUGGAAUGCGCAGAUAUCAGGAGGAACACCGAUGGCGAAGGCAGAUCUCUGGGCCGUAACUGACGCUGAGGAGCGAAAGCAUGGGGAGCGAACAGG